rnacentral:rRNA from 1 species
GACGAACGCUGGCGGCGUGCUUAACACAUGCAAGUCGAACGCUGAAGCGCAGCUUUUGUUGGGUUGAUGAGUGGCGAACGGGUGAGUAACACGUGAGUAACCUGCCUCCUUCUUUGGGAUAACGCCCGGAAACGGGUGCUACUACAUGAUAUUCACUGGGCUUCGCGUGGGGGUUGGGGGCAAGGGGUUUUCUGGUGGGGGGUGGGCGCGCGGCCUAUCGGCUUGGUGGUGGGGUGAUGGCCUACCAAGGCUUUGACGGGUAGCCGGACGGAGAGGGUGACCGGUACCGUUGGGCCGGCGAUACGCCCCAGACUCGCACGGGAGGCGGCAGUGGGGAAUAUUGCGCAAUGGGCGCAAGCCUGAUGCAGCGACGCCGCGUGGGGGUUGGGGGCCUUCGGGUUGUGAACCUCUUUCGCUCAUGAUCAAGCCGCAACAAUGGUUGUGGUGCGGGUCGUGGAUAAAGAAGCGCCGGCUAACUCCGU